AUGUGGUUAUGGGGCCGUGGUUAUGGGGCCGUGGUUAUGGGGCCGUGGUUAUGGGGCCGUGGUUGUGUGGCUGUGCUUAUGGGGCCGUGGUUAUGGGGUCGUGGUUAUGGGGCCGUGGUUAUGGGGCUGUGGUUCUGGGGUCGUGGUUAUGGGGCCGUGGUUAUGGGGCCGUGGUUAUGGGGCAGUGGUUAUGGGGCUGUGGUUAUGGGGUCGUGGUUAUGGGGUCGUGGUUAUGGGGCCGUGGUUAUGGGGCCGUGGUUAUGGGGCUGUGGUUAUGGGGCUGUGGUUAUGGGGUCGUGCUUAUGGGGCUGUGGUUAUGGGGCCGUGGUUAUGGGGCCGUGGUUAUGGGGCCGUGGUUAUGGGGUCGUGGUUCUGGGGCCGUGGUUAUGGGGCCANGUGGUUAUGGGGCCGUGGUUAUGGGGCCGUGGUUAUGGGGCCGUGGUUAUGGGGUCGUGGUUCUGGGGCCGUGGUUAUGGGGCCAUGGUUAUGGGGCUGUGGUUAUGGCGCUGUGGUUAUGGGGCCGUGGUAAUAGGGCCGUGGUUGUGUGGCAGUGGUUAUGGGGCUGUGGUUAUGGGGCCGUGCUUAUGGGGCCAUGGUUAUGGGGCUGUGGUUAUGGGGCCGUGGUUAUGGGGCCGUGGUUAUGGGGCUGUGCUUAUGGGGCUGUGGUUAUGGGGCUGUGGUUAUGGGGCUGUGGUUAUAUGGCCGUGGUUAUGGGGCCGUGGUUAUGGGGCCGUGGUUAUGGGGCCGUGGUUAUGGGGCCGUGGUUAUGGGUCGUGGUUAUGGGGCCGUGGUUAUGGGGCUGUGGUUAUGGGGCUGUGGUUAUGGGGUCGUGGUUCUGGGGUCGUGGUUAUGGGGCCGUGGUUAUGGGGCCGUGGUUAUGGGUCGUGGUUAUGGGGCCGUGGUUAUGGGACCGUGGUUAUGGGGCCAUUGUUAUGGGUCGUGGUUAUGGGGCCGUGGUUAUGGGGCUGUGGUUAUGGGGCUGUGGUUAUAGGGCUGUGGUUAUGGGGCCGUGUUUAUGGGGCUGUGCUUAUGGGGCCGUGGUUAUGGGGCUGUGGUUAUGGGGCUGUGGUUAUAUGGGUGUGGUUAUAUGGUUGUGGUUAUAUGGCUGUGGUUAUAGGGCCGUGGUUAUGGGGUCGUGGUUAUGGGGCCGUGGUUAUGGGGCUGUGGUUAUAUGGCCGUGGUUAUAGGGCCGUGGUUAUGGGGCUGUGGUUAUGGGGCUGUGGUUAUGGGGCCGUGGUUAUGGGGCUGUGGUUAUGGGGCUGUGGUUAUGGGGCUGUGGUUAUGGGGCCGUGGUUAUGGGGCCGUGGGUGUUGGGGUCCCUAUGGGGCCAUUUGUCACCCAGCCCCAUCUGCUGCUCCAUUUAAUUACUGCCUUAAUUGCGGGCCCCGUUAAUGAG
rnacentral:lncRNA from 1 species